rnacentral:rRNA from 1 species
AAUGAACGCUGGCGGCGUGGUUAAGACAUGCAAGUCGAACGGUUUUUCAGGUGUAGCAAUACAUCUGAAAGACAGUGGCGAACGGGUGCGUAACACGUGAACAAUCUACCUUCAAAUGGGGAAUAGCUCGCCGAAAGGCGAAUUAAUACCGCAUACGGUUGCCUCUCGCAUGAGAGACAUACCAAAGUCAGGGACCGCAAGGCCUGACGUUAGAAGAGGAGUUCGCGGCCUACAGCUAGUUGGCGAGGUAACGGCUCACC